GAACAGGGGUGCACUUAGUGCUGAGAUAUACCCUUACCACCUGAUCUAGGUAGAGCUAGCGUAGGGAGUUCUUAA
rnacentral:ncRNA from 1 species